ACAACGAACUGUGAGAAGUCAGCAGAGGCCAUAGUACCGGGGGAAAAAAACUCGGAAAGGGC
rnacentral:ncRNA from 1 species